GAACGAUCAGCAGCCGUUGCCAACCGUCAGACGCAAGCGCGUUCGUAGUCUACGAACUCGAACUGUUAACUGCGCAGCGCUAACUGUUAACUGCGGAUGCGUCUGAUGGUUGGCAACCGUUGCUGAUCGAUUGGAUCGUACUACGAACAAACCUAUUGUUUUGCUUUUGCCUGCGUGCAUUCUUGUUCAUUAAUCAUUAAUUUGUUAGUUUAUUGUUCAUUUUGUAUUUUUUAUACCUACUACAUUGUAAACACAGCACAUGCACAUCCCCCCUUAUUAAUUAUUUAUCUGUGAUUGUAAAUACUGCAGGAAUAGGGAAUGUUAAGGUGGAAAAGUGGAGAACAUUCACAGCAGUUAAAAUAAUUAUUGUUUAUGAUAUUUUAUACAAUAAAUAUGUAAAUCGGAUCACCAUCUGGAUUUCAAAUAAACACCGUAUUGUACUGGGACCACUACCAGGUGUUUUAUUAUCAUUGAAUCAAUGUACUAAAUAAUUCUGUAUAUUUCAAAUAUAUUCAUUCAGUUUAUAUGUCAGCUAUGGAUUUUAAAGUUGAAAUUAAGGAUGAGCCUGUCGAAUAUAUCCAAAAGGAUACAGAGAGCCAGCUAUCCACAUCCAUAGAUCUGGAAAACUUCAAAAAUGAAAAAGAAGAUAAAUCAGAAAUGGGACUAAACGCUGAAAUCAAGGAAGAGUUUUCAGACAGUUGUCAAGUAUAUACAAAGGAUCAGCUGUUUACAUCGCCAGAUCUUAAAGACUUGGUUAAUGAAGCAGAUGAAGAUAACUCAGGGCUUUCUCAGAACGGAAUGGAAAUCAUGAAAACUGAACUUACAUGCACUACAGAACAACAAACAAGAGCAAACACUGAAGAAAAACCAUCAACAAAUUCUAUUUGUGAAUGUAAAAUUUGUUUUAAGCAAUUUAGUCAAGCACGUUCUUUGAAACGACAUAUAAAAACGCACAGUGCAGAAAAAAAUCUUAACAAGUGCAAAAUUUGUUUUAAGCAGUUUUCUCAAAAACAUUAUUUAAAGAGUCAUUUAAGAUUGCACACUGGAGAAACUCCUUAUAAGUGUGAAAUUUGUUUAAAGCAGUUUGUCCAAAUGCACGAUUUGAAAAUUCAUUUUAGAGUGCACACUGGAGAAAAGCCUUAUAAGUGUGAAAUUUGUUUUAAGCAGUUUACUCAAACGAGUAAUUUGACCAAACAUAGACAAGUUCACACUGGAGAAAAGCCUUACGAGUGUGAAAUUUGUUUUAAGCAGGUAGCUACAAAAUAUCAAUUAAAAUGUCAUUUGAUGGUGCAUACUGGAGAAAAACCUCACAAGUGUGAAAUUUGUUUUAAGCAGUUUAGUCAUGCACAUAGUUUGCAAGGUCAUUUGAGAGUGCACACUGGAAAGAAGCCUUACAAGUGUGAAAUCUGUUUGAAGCAGUUUACACAAAAACAUCAUUUAAACGAUCAUUUACAAUUGCACACUGGAGAAACUCCUUAUAAGUGUGAAGUUUGUUUUAAACACUACACUUGUAAAAAUUCUUUGAAUGUACAUAAAAGAUUUCACACUGACGAAAAGCCUUACAAGUGUGAAAUUUGUUUAAAGCAGUUUGUUAGAGCACAAGAGUUGAAACGUCAUUCGAGAGUACAUACUGGAGAAAAGCCUUAUAAGUGUGGAAUUUGUUUUAAACAGUUUAGUCAUGCACAUAAUUUGAAAGGUCAUUUAAAAGUGCACAAGGAGAAAAGCCUUAAUGUAAAUUCCCAGAUAGCAAUAUAAACCUGUUUCAAACUUGCAAUAAGUUUGAUACAUCAAACAUGAAAGCUUGCUGCAGGUUUGCCAUGGCAACUUUGCAAGCUUGCAACAAGUUUAAAUCAUGCUAGUUGGAGUGUGACACACUUGCAUGAAGUUUGUUACUUGAUACAAACUUGAUAUAGUAAACAUGCUGAAGGUUUGUUUUUGUUUUGUUGCAUGAAGUUUGUAUUUUCAAACUUGAUACAAACUUGCUUAAGGUUUGUUUUGACAUACUAGCCACAAUUUGAAGAAAACAAUGUGAAUAAAAAAUACAAUACCAUUUUAUAUAACUAUUUAUUCAGUAAUUACUCAACUAAAAUACAAUUUAUUGUCUAAAAUUAUUUAUUGGAACUUACAUUUAACCUGCUAGCUUCAUAUUCCGAUGAUCAGUUUUGUCUCAGCUCUGAAACAAAUAAAAGAAAUUGUUAUAAAGUCUUGCUGUGUGAACAGAAUUAAUAUUUGCUAUUAAAAGAGAAAAACAUGUUAAAGUAGCAAUUUUACAAUAAAACCUAAAACUUAUUUAUAAAUAAUAUAUUAUAAUAUGUUUAUUUUAGAUAGUAUGUAUGUAAAUAUAGUUAGAAAAUACGAAAAACAUAAAAAAACUUACCUCAAUUUCACCAAAGCAAAAAGAAUACCAAUCUGUACCUAAUCACCACAAGCAGGUGGGUCUAUGAAAAACUAAAGAAAACAAGCUUCAGCUUAGUAAUUAAAGUAAUAGUCUCGGAGAAUUGUACGGUAAAUGUUGUAAAAAAAUCAAAGAAAAAUAUCAACAUAGGAUAGGAUAUACCUAACCACAAAUUAUCACCGCUUGGCAUGACGGCAGGUUACUUUUCCCGUGUUGCCAGCUGUCGAGUGAGCUUUUUCCCUCAACGUACCUUAAAAAUUUCCACUUUUAUGAUAAAAUUCCUUCCUAUGCUCCUAUUUAAAAAAUCUGUGAAAAUAUGUUGAAUUAUUUUCAAAUAUUUUGAUUUUUAUAAAUAUUUUACAAUUUGGACUGGAGCAAAGAUUCCCUUAUAAGUUAACUUUUUCCCUUUUAUGUUGAAAAUUGUCGCAGAAAGGGAAAUUUGCCACCGGUGGCAACACUCUCGUUUUCGUUGGUGUGACAUCAGUCAGGGUAACGAACGGAACCGAAUCAACCGUAACGUGUAAGUCAAGCAAAUAGAUGGCACGCGUGACGUGGCUUUGCAACUGUACGCUUGCUGCAAAGUUGCUACAAACUUGAAUCAUCAUCUUUGUCAUAACAAUAUUGCAGCAAACUUGGCACAAACUUGCCUCGUCAUAUUUGACGCAGCAAUUUAAAAUCAAAGAAGAAUCAAACUUGUCACAAGUUUACAUGCUAUCUGGGUUUAAAUCAAAGCGACCACGAACGAAGGAAUGAAUUCGUAGGUGUUUGCUUGGUCAUUCGUUUGCUACAAAGUAGGACUAUUUACAUUGAAGCGAACGUUCGCAUUUGUUGAUGAUCCGUCCGCAAUAUCAAAUACAGAUGAAGAUAAUAUAAUCAUUAGCGCUGCUAGUUUUUUAGUUAUUGCAGGACUUCCGAAAAAAAAAAGAAAAAGAGAGUGUGGUGUUGGAGUUUUUUUAAAAAGAGAAAAAAAAGAUGAGGUGAUGCCUGAAGUGAUUUAAUGACUGACAAUUUAGGCCAAAUUACAAAUUUCUGUAGAAUGUCUAUGGAAGAUUUUGAAAUUUUGUUGAAUUUGAUUGGACCUAGCAUUUCUAAAAAUGAUACAAAUUUCAGUUUUUACGACUACACAAUAAACAACCCUAUCAAAGUAAUUUUUGUAAAUAAAUUAAAUCAGUACUUCUCAACGAAUUCGUUUGUUACCGUCUAUCCACUGUCCACAUUGAACAACUAUUUACUUUGAUGAUUCGCCAACUUACCGACAUCGGUUGGAACAUGUGCGAAUGCGAACGAAUUCGUUCUAUCGUGCUCGAUUCGCUGUACAAGUACAAUAAACUUGUUAUUCAUUUUUGAUUUACAUUUACUCUGAUUGGAGUACAAAGGGAACCAUUCUCGUUGGAACUUUACCACGCUGAGCAGAUGGGACGUGAAUUGUAAAUUGUAGAAUUCCCUCAUCUUCCUUAGUCUCAGCAUCCGUCUGGCUUGCAAAUUGUAGAAGCCUCGGAGGUGUAACCAGAGAAGGUUCCCAUUGUUUUCAUUCUGGUGGGAUGUAUAAUAGCAUUAUGUUGUUUUAUGUGCCAUUACAUGAUACUAUAAAUAACAAGAUAAUAUAUUGCACAUCCUGAAGUCGUGACGUAACUGGAGACCUGCAAGUUUGUAAUGGUUCGUAAUCAUUCGUAAUGUCGGAUUAGUUUGAAUUGUUCGCGGUUGUAAGCUAAGUGUAUUUUAUAUUUUAUUUAUGUCUGUUAUUUUGACAGGAAUCUCGACAAUAAAUAUUUUUCGAAUACAUUGAAGUUUAAUGUUAUGUUGUUAAUUGAAUAAUUUCAUCACAGAACGCAUACAAAUCCCAUUUAAUUUUAACAAGAAUUCAAAUUCAACUUCCGGUCUCCAGUUACGUCAUCAUGCGCGAACUCGGACGUAUUUGAGCUACGGGAAGAUACUAUCUCGUUAUUUAUAGUAUCAUGUGCCAUUAGAGUGAAGACUUAGUCUUUUUACAAUAAAGUUGCUUAUAUAAGCGUAUGGAAAGAUCCAUGCUGGGCGUAACCCUAGAUCUCGGACAAAGAACCGGUAUCACAGAUGUUGUAGAGCGUGUCGCCAAACUCAAAUAAAACUGGGCAGCACACGUCGCCAAGCUGAAGGACUCCAGAUGGACACAAAAACUAAUGGAAUGGAGACCAAGAGAAGAUAAAUGGCAGUAGAGGAAGGCCGCCUACACGAUGGACAGAUGAUAUCAGGCGGAUUAGUAAAAACUGGCAACAAUCGGCACAAAACCGUGAAGUGUGGAAACAAUUGGGGGAGACCCAUGUCCAGCAGUGGGCGUAAGUUGGUUGGAUGAUGAUGAUGAUAUUUGAGAAUGCACACAGGAGAAAACCAUUACAAGUGUGAAAUUUGUUUUAAGCAGUUUUCUCAAAAAAGUAAUCUGAAUACACAUUUUAGAGUGCACACUGGAGAAAAGCCUUCCUCCUCAUCUUCUCUAAUUUGAUUGGCGAUCAAUAUGGCAAAUUUAUCUCUGUUCUGGACUUGUAUGUUAAAAAGUAAUUGUAGAAUUGUAAUGCUGAUAAAUACACUCUGAUAAAA
rnacentral:misc_RNA from 1 species